rnacentral:tRNA from 1 species
UAGCCUAGUAGUUAAGGCUAUGGACCGCCAAUCCGGAGGCGGCGGGUUCGAUUCCCGU